rnacentral:rRNA from 1 species
GAUGAACGCUGACAGCAUGCUUAACGCAUGCAAGUCUUUGGCGAAGCUGUGCUUGCACAGCCUAGCCAAGGCGGACGGGUGAGUAACGCGUAAGGAACUUGCCCUGCAGUCAGGGAUAACAGACGGAAACGACUGAUAAGACCUGGUAAAGUCAGGCGGACUCAUGUCCAGCCUGAUGAAAAGAGAUGCUGCAGGAGAGCCUUGCGUCCUAUUAGCUUGUUGGUGGGGUAACGGCCCACCAAGGCGAUGAUAGGUAGCCGGCCUGAGAGGGUGGACGGCCACAAGGGGACUGAGAUACGGCCCUUACUCCUACGGGAGGCAGCAGUGGGGAAUAUUGGACAAUGGGGGCAACCCUGAUCCAGCAAUUCUGUGUGCACGAUGAAGGUUUUCGGAUUGUAAAGUGCUUUCAGCAGGGAAGAAAAAAAUGACGGUACCUGCAGAAGAAGCGACGGCUAAAUACGUG